UUUGAGCCUUUGGACCUUUCUUUGGCAAACUCAUUACAAAUCGUGAUCCAUUUUUUUAUCCCUUUUUUGAAUCAAACCCUUCUUGAACUUAAAUAUAUAACUUGAGGCUAAAAACAUAAGUUAGGGGUGGUAAAGGUUAAUGGAAGAAAGUGUGAGGCCACCAAGUUGUUAGUGAAAUGCCGAAUGUGCCUAAGUGUUGAAAACAAA
rnacentral:lncRNA from 1 species